UUGUUAUGACAUACUAAGAGAUAUCAAGUACGAUGAAAUUAUUUAUAAUAUUGUAGUAGCAUUGCUACAAGUAGAUGAAAGUUUGAAAAUUGUCCAAAGUUUGUGAAUAAAUUUCGUCAAUUUAUUAAUCACGUAUAUAUUUUUUUCAAGUUAUUUGUUUGGAAAAUUUAUAUAAACGAAUUAACAGAAAAUGUGUAUGUAAAUAUGUAAAAUAAAAUUAUAAAAAUAAUAAAACGCAUAUUUGAUGUAUAGGGGAAUAUUUGACGUGUGAUGAAUUGAUUGAUUGACGAGAAAAAAGAAUUCGUUUUUAUUGAAGUAAAUAUAUAUAUACUUAUAUAAUAUAUAUGUAUUCAUAUCUAUGUUUUGAGAGAGUGUUAUAUGUUUAUGUUUAUAUUAACAAGAAAUUAUUAUUAAUAGGAUAAAAAUGAAGUUGAAAUAAAAAAAAUGGAUCCCCUGUAACGUGAUUGUUUACGAAAUUACAAUGACACGAACUAUGCUAUUGGCAUAUUAUUUUCAAUCUGUUCCUGAUGUAAUAAGCAAUUGUAACAUAAUAUUUUAAAGUUUGCUAGUCGAUGCCAUGGUGAUCGAUGGCUGCCGGCAGCGAGUUCCAAAACGUUGUACCCAGUAUCAAAAAUGACUUCUGAUAAAGUGUUGGUCGAACAAUUGGCGCUAUAAGUGUAUCAGUUCUAUUGUUAUUACGAUGUCUUGCAAUGUUGUGAUUUAAUCUGAUGUAUUCUUUCAGUAGAGCGUUCUUUUCUAGCAUGAGUAUACCAUAAUAUAAGCAUCCUAAAAAGUAUAGUCUUCGAUUAUGUGGUGACAGCCAGCCAAUUCUCAGACAAGAUUAAUGUUAGUUAGUGCAGCUGCACAGUAAUCAUAUAUCGGUAGAACUAAGCUGACGACCAAUUGGCGCUUUAUUACAGUAUUCAGGUUAUUAAUUGUUGCUCAAAAACGAUAAAGUAUCUGUGAUGCCGUGAUGCAAGUUUUCAUAACUUGAUCCUUCCACGUUAGCUUUGAAUCAAUCAUGACACCAAGGUAUUUAAAUCUAUAGUAUACUAACAUACUCAAUAGGCUCUCCGUUGAUAAUAAUUUCUGGAACGUGAUUUAAAUCUAUCGAAUCUAUGUUAAGAGUGAUACCUAUAAACAUCGCCUUGGUUUUUAUGGCAUUAAUUUUGAGUUUAUUUAGUUGACACCAUCUUGUUACAGCAGCAAUAUCUUCAUUAAUUUUAUUUAUCGCUACAAUCAAAUUACUCAAUUUGCUAUAUUUAACAAUAGAUUGUCCGUUUUCGAAAUUUUAACACCAAGCGCAGACCUUCUUACUAAUCGGGG